rnacentral:rRNA from 1 species
CACGAAGCGGUGGAGUAUGUGGUUAAUUCGAUGCAACGCGAAGAACCUUACCUGGUCUUGACAUCCCGGAGACCCUUAGGAAACUAGGGGGUGCUUCCAUCUGGAAGAAUCUGGAGACAGGUGCUGCAUGGCUGUCGUCAGCUCGUGUCGUGAGAUGUGGGUUUAAGUCCCGCAACGAGCGCAACCCUUGCCUUUAGUUGCCAGCAGUUCGGCUGGGCACUCUAAAGGGACUGCCGGUGUUAAACCGGAGGAAGGUGGGGAUGACGUCAAGUCCUCAUGGCCUUUAUGACCAGGGCUACACACGUACUACAAUGGCCGAUACAAAGGGCAGCGACACUGCGAGGUGAAGCCAAUCCCGUAAAAUCGGUCUCAGUCCGGAUUGGAGUCUGCAACUCGACUCCAUGAAGUUGGAAUCGCUAGUAAUCGUGGAUCAGCAUGCCACGGUGAAUACGUUCCCGGGCCUU